UACGGAGGGUGCGAGCGUUAAUCGGAAUUACUGGGCGUAAAGGGUUCGUAGGUGGUUUGAUAAGUUAUCUGUAAAAGCCCUGGGCUCAACCUAGGAAGGUCAGAUAAUACUGUUGGACUCGAGUAUGGGAGAGGGUAGUGGAAUUUCCGGUGUAGCGGUGAAAUGCGUAGAGAUCGGAAGGAACACCAGUGGCGAAGGCGGCUACCUGGCCUAAUACUGACACUGAGGAACGAAAGCGUGGGGAGCAAACAGG
rnacentral:rRNA from 1 species